rnacentral:antisense_RNA from 1 species
UUCAAAAACAGUUUUACUGUUAUUUAGAGAUUCACUAAUAGUUUCAUUUACAUUUAGGAAUGUAUUCCCAUGGAUUCUGAUAAUAGAUUCAACCCAAAUAAGAUGGCGUUCUAAUCUGAAAAAUUGUUUAUUAUUAGGGCUUGUUACAAUUCUUAAAAAGUUUAGUAUAUUUGGAAGAAAAAAUGAAACAAUAUUCUGUACAAUGUAGUCAAUCGAAGUAAUUGGAAUUUGGACAUACGCCUUUGCAAGUAUAUUGAAAUUAUUCAUUGCCAAUGCAAGAAUCAAGCCUCUUAAAAAAUCUCCUUCUUUGAGAAAAUGAUCAAUAUUGCUCACAUUUACCUCUUUUGUCAUUAUUUGCUUUUUAAAAGUAUCUAACAUGUUUAAGUGAGUUGAAGAGCCUGAAUAUGAAUUUCCUAGAGUAUCAAUGCAGAAAAGGAAUGCUCCAUGGCUAGUAGAAGCAAUCCAAUGCGAUGAGUUUUGGGAAAAUGCCACCUCAUAUACAGAAAAAUGAGAUUGCCUGCUAGGGCUUGAGAACUCCCCAACAAUAGUUCCUGGUAAAGAAUUAUGUUCAUGAAUAAUCUUCUCUUUCUCGCUUAAUCUAUUUGAAGAACUCCAAAUUUCAUCAGGAUUUUCAGAAUCGGGGAUUCUUUUUUUCUUUUUGUUGGAAUUUAAAUUGGAAUUAAGCUCCAUUCUAAUUCCCGAAAAGAAACGAGAAUUUGUUAGUUGAACAGUAGAAACCAAAGUAAAGGUUAAUGUAUCAUAAAGGCAUACUCUAGCUGAAUUUCUAGAGGAGGCAAGAAGAAAUCUUCCAUUGCUAUUGUAACAGAUAGAUGAGAAGUGUUGGUUUCUAUUAAUAUUUUGGUUUGUUUUUGCUCCAAGUCUUCCGCCACCGCCUUUGCUGUUAUUUGCAGAAAAUGCACUUGAAGAGCUCCUUCCGCUAUGAAUAUCUCUUAGACCAUCAAUACUACCUUCAACAGUGCCCUUAUUUAUAUCCCAGAAAGUAAUACUCCCGGACAAAGAACUGGUUGCAAGCAUAUUAUUCCCUCUAGGGUCAAAUGCUAUUGAAAGCACGGAAGAAGAGUGUACUAAGGUUUCCCCUGUUGCUCCUUUACCAACACGUGCAUAAAGAUCCCAUAUUCUAACAGUGCCGUCCCAUGAAGCAGAAGCUAAAAUGCCAGGGCUAGAAAGCGAAGGACAAAACGCGAUGUCAACUAUGUUGGAUGUAUGCCCAGACAAUUUAUCUACUAGCUUACCGGUUUGGAAACUCCAGACAUAAAUUUUGCAUUCUUCGCCCUGACUGCCUGCUACUACUAAAUCACCAGCUCUAUCAAUUGCAACACAUGUGAACUGAACGCCUGUAUCUUCGUCGGCUGUUAAAGUCCUGAAGUUUCUGUAUCUCAUAAUAUCAUAUGCUCUGAUUGAACCAUCGAGGGAAGCGGAUAGGAUGGCAUUACCUUGGGGAUUAAAAAUAACUUUAGAAACUGGGGCGAUGUGAUCUGAAAAUGUCGCAAAAUUAUAUCCUGAACUAAUAUCCCAAAGCUUUACUUUGCCGUCAACCCCUCCUGUUGCAAUUAUUGUUCUUGAUCCAAUGCCAAGAUAAUCGUCAUGAGAAGCUUUUCCAUUCCAUUUCCCUUGAGUUAAUCCUACCGGGCUAAAACCAGAAGAUUGUAUACCAAAAGAAUGGCCUUGCUGCUUAAGUAUAUACGACUCUGAUUGCCAUUCCCAAAUGAUAAGCUGACCAGUUUUUGCAGCUCCAACUGCCAGCCAUUCGCCUUUUGCACCAAAUUUUAGUGAAGUUAAAGGGGAGUUAGAAAGUGAAAACGUAUGGAUUGAAUUAAUUAAGACAUUACUUGGGUCGAAAGAGUCAGAAUCCAGCCCAACUGAAAUUCCAUAUAAGGUAAAUACUCCAUUAGAUGUUGAAAUUGCAGCCAGGUUCUUUUCAUAAUUAAAUGCACAGCCUGUAAUAAUCGCUCCUUUUGAUUGAUUUACAUAUGCUCUCAGGGCCUCAAUCCAAUAUUUACUUCUUAUUCCAUCAUAAAAUUCUGGUUCAAUGUCUGAAUCUAUGUCUAAGGCUAAUUUAGUAUUUGCCCUAGAUUUCUUAAUUUGUCUAGGGAGAAUUUUUUGGGGGGUAAAAACUUUCUUACCUUGACUUUCCUUUUUGGAUGAAGGUUUCCAGAAUAUUAUAACGCCUUCAGAGCUUACAGAAAAUAUGAAUUGCAUGUUUUUCGUGAAGUAGGAGCCAACAACUGGAUUUUUGUGGGCAAUAAAGGCUACAGUGUCAAAAUGGUCAAUCUUUUCAAUGCUGAUAAGCCUUACAGUCAUGUCAUUGCUAGCCGUAAGUAAAAAACGAUCGCACCUACUCCAAUCUAAAGAAUUAACCUUAGAGUUGUGGAUAAUAUGCUUUCUCUUUAAUAUCAAUUGCCAACCUUUUGAUAUACAUGGAGCAUGCCAUAUAUAUAUUCCAGAAUCAAUUGCUGCAGCAACGUAAUUUCCAUUGUGGCUAUAGCAAAUGAAUCCAACUGAACCGGGAAAUUGCAUUCUAUUAAGAAUAAGCCCUUUUGAAAAGUUGACAAUUGAGCCAUAAUUAUCUUCGUCUACACAAAUUAGAAUGCUCUCGUCAGGUGAAAGGCACAUCUUGCUUAUAUUACUUCUUGCUUCACAUCCCAAUACAUGGGUUCUGUUAAAUUUUAUAUCAUGAACACAAAUCCUAUUGUCCACAUUAGAGACCAAGUUUGACGAAUCUGAGAAAAAAAGAAUAUCGCCUCCAUUAUAUGGCACUCCUAAUAAAUUAUUGAAUUUGUACAUGAUGAAUUAGUAUUAAUAAUUAAAUGUUAUAAGAAUUUUGCUUCAAACUUCAAUAUUUCAGCCUAUUAAAAUAUAGGCUAAUACUUGGC